CGCUCUUUGAAAAGGAAUACUAAAAUAUAAAGAGUCCUGCCUGCCCAGUGACAGAAGUUAAACGGCCGCGGUAUUUUGACCGUGCAAAGGUAGCAUAAUCAUUUGCCUUUUAAAUGGAGGCUGGAAUGAAUGGCAAGACGGAAGUUUAGCUGUCUCUCUUUUAGAGUCUUGAAUUUAUCAUCUUCGUGAAGAGGCGGAGAUAAAGUCGUAGGACGAGAAGACCCUGUCGAGCUUAAGCUAUACGUUAGAGUUAUAAAAUUUUUGUUUUUAAGCUAAUUUAAGAAUAAGUUUAGUUUUACUUGGUACAGAAUUUUACUGCUAAUGAGUUGUUUUGGUUGGGGCAACCACGGAGAAAACAAACCCUCCGCUAAGAAAUUAAAGAAAAACUUACUAUUUUGAAAAGUCUUUGAUUAAAAAGUGAUCCACUAAAAAGUGAUCAAAGGAACAAGUUACCGCAGGGAUAACAGCGUAAUUUUUUUGGAGAGUUCAUAUUGAUAAAAAAGUUUGCGACCUCGAUGUUGGAUCGGGAUUUCCAGGAGAUGCAGCAGUUUCCAAGGGUUGGUCUGUUCGACCAUUAAAGUCCU
rnacentral:rRNA from 1 species